GUUCCUUGACUUGACUCAUGCUUCCUGUCUCUUUAGCUCCCUCGAGCAUCGGGCCGCUCUGCUGAGUUAGACUCCCCUUUGCUUUUCAUAGAUCUCCUUGGGGCCUUCUCACAACGCCAGGCAGCAGGCAGGAAGCAGCAGGCCGUUGGGCAGGGCUGCGCCUGUAACUCGUCUGGCAGCCGUGCGGCUGGGACAGCGAGCUGAGCGUCCACCGUCCCUCUCAGGGGCUGAAAGUGCCACCUACUGUCCACUCCGUAGAAAUGCCCAAAGAAUGUAGUCUGAGCCUUAUGGACUGAGAGUCACAGGAACUAGGAAUUUAAGGUAACUGAUUUCCAGGCUGACUUAAACCCAGCAAGUGUUCAAGAGAUGUUCUAGUGACUGGAGGAGACAGCAGUGUGCAGCCCGCAUUUCAUUGAUUGGGCUGCUCGUGUGCUCAUUCUAUCUUUAACCCUUCAGCAAAUAUUCAGUCUCUUCUACACAGCUUAUCAUUUGUUUGACUCUGAAAUGCAUUGGUUCAGUUUUUAUGAUAAGCUAGUUCUGUACAAUCAUAUGUAAAGUGUUUAUUUAAUACAAACAGUAUACACUCUUGUUCAAGUUCAUCCUGAAUUAAAA